rnacentral:rRNA from 1 species
UACGUAGGGUGCGAGCGUUGUCCGGAAUUAUUGGGCGUAAAGGGCUCGUAGGCGGUUUGUCGCGUCGGGAGUGAAAACACCGGGCUUAACUCGGUGCUUGCUUUCGAUACGGGCAGACUAGAGGCAUGCAGGGGAGAACGGAAUUCCUGGUGUAGCGGUGAAAUGCGCAGAUAUCAGGAGGAACACCGGUGGCGAAGGCGGGUCUCUGGGCCGAUACUGACGCUGAGGAGCGAAAGCGUGGGGAGCGAACAGG